CGCAUAUUUGGAUUGCCGAAGAUUGUCCCUCGGUACAUACCGUACGUCUCACCACGUCAAUUCCACAAUGCUUUGAAACGCCUUAGCAAACAACCGCAGCCAGCUUUCAGGAUUUGAGCAUUUCCAUUUGGAUCGACUGCUGAUUUCUCUGCACCUGUUAACAUGGUCAACGUACACAAAGGCGUUCUUGUUGAAUGUGAUCCUGCCAUGAAACAGUUCCUCCUCUACUUGGAUGAAAAAAUGGCCCUGGGAAAGAAAUUCAUCCUCAAGGACCUUGACGACACACACCUCUUCAUCCUGGCAGAGGUGGUACAGACCCUCCAGGAGAGAGUUGGCGAGUUAAUGGACCAGAACUCAUUCACCGUCACGCAGAAAUAAUAUUCAACUGUUCCAAAGAAGUCUUGCUUCUUUGAUUUAGGGCAGUUUAAGAGUUUGUCUUUAGAUGAACACGGUUUGCAUUGUUUUGACAAUAUAAUUCACCAGGAACAUGGAUCUAACUUGCAGCCAAACAAAGCAGCAGCAUAAAAAGACCGAGAAGAAAUGUCGGAAACUUUUGCAAAUGUCUAACUUGCAACUGAGACAUCCGAACUUAGUUCUCUGUGGGGGAAUAUAAUGGGUUUGACCGGUCUGGCGAAAAAUUAGGCCACACAGCAGUUUAAGAGCUUUGGUAGCCUCUAGUGUAGAAUGGAGCUGACUGCAUGAUUCAACCCUACACUGAACAUUUGAAACAGAACGGACUCGUAUCUCGUACCACACAACGCAUUCAUUCGCUGAUUUUUUUUCAGCAAAUUGUCAACCUUCAGAUUAUUUCAAAACAUGUUUCAUUAGA